rnacentral:rRNA from 1 species
UUCCCCUAGUAACUGCGAGUGAAGCGGGAAAAGCUCAAAUUUAAAAUCUGGUAGUCUUUGGCUACCCGAGUUGUAAUCUAGAGAAGCGUUAUCCGCACUGGACCAUGUAUAAAUCUCCUGGAAUGGAGUGUCAUAGAGGGUGAGAAUCCCGUCUUUGACAUGGACUACCAGGGCUUUGUGAUGCGCUCUCAAAGAGUCGAGUUGUUUGGGAAUGCAGCUCUAAAUGGGUGGUAAGUUCCAUCUAAAGCUAAAUAUUGGCAAGAGACCGAUAGCGAACAAGUACCGUGAGGGAAAGAUGAAAAGAACUUUGGAAAGAGAGUUAAACAGUACGUGAAAUUGUUGAAAGGGAAACGCUUGAAGUCAGUCAUAUUGGCCAGGGAUCAACCUUGCAGCUUGCUUGGUGUACUUUCUGGUUGAUAGGUCAGCAUCAAUUUUGACCAGUGGAAAAAGUUCAGGGGAAUGUGGCAUCUUCGGAUGUGUUAUAGCCUUUGGCCAUAUACAUUGGUUGGGAUUGAGGAACUCAGCAUGCCGCAAGGCCAGGUUUUUAACCAUGUUCAUGCUUAGGAUGCUGGCAUAAUGGCUUUAAUCGACCCGUCUUGAAACACGGACCAAGGAGUCUAACAUGCCUGCAAGUGUUUGGGUGGAAAACCCAAGCGCGUAAUGAAAGUGAAAGUUGGGAUCUCUGUCGUGGAGAGCACCGACGCCCGGACCAGACCUUCUGUGACGGAUCCGCGGUAGAG